CUGACCUUUUGGUACAGAGAAGUCAUUGAUGCCCGGCUUCCAGGAAAAGCUGCUAGCCAUAACUUAUAGAGAACCGUACCGCAAACCGACACAGGUGGACAGGUAGAGAAUACUAAGGCGCUUGAGAGAACUCGGGUGAAGGAACUAGGCAAAAUGGUACCGUAACUUCGGGAGAAGGUACGCCCUUUCUGGUGAUGGGAUUUACUUUCAGAGCUGGAGAGGGCCGCAGAGACCAGGUGGCUGCGACUGUUUAUUAAAAACACAGCACUCUGCAAAUUCGUAAGAAGACGUAUAGGGUGUGACGCCUGCCCGGUGCCGGAAGGUUAAUUGAUGGGGUUAUCUUCGGAGAAGCUCUUGAUCGAAGCCCCGGUAAACGGCGGCCGUAACUAUAACGGUCCUAAGGUAGCGAAAUUCCUUGUCGGGUAAGUUCCGACCUGCACGAAUGGCGUAACGAUGGCCACACUGUCUCCACCCGAGACUCAGUGAAAUUGAAAUCGCUGUGAAGAUGCAGUGUACCCGCGGCUAGACGGAAAGACCCCGUGAACCUUUACUAUAGUUUUGCACUGGACUUUGAUGAUGACUGUGUAGGAUAGGUGGGAGGCUGUGAAGUGAGGACGCUAGUUCUCAUGGAGCCGCCCUUGAAAUACCACCCUGUUGUUAUUGAGGUUCUAACUUGGUCCAGUAAUCCUGGAUGAGGACAGUGUAUGAUGGGUAGUUUGACUGGGGCGGUCUCCUCCCAAAGAGUAACGGAGGAGCACAAAGGUACCCUCGGUACGGUCGGACAUCGUACCAAGAGUGUAAAGGCAAAAGGGUGCUUGACUGCGAGAGUGACGGCUCGAGCAGGAACGAAAGUUGGUCUUAGUGAUCCGGUGGUUCUGAAUGGAAGGGCCAUCGCUCAACGGAUAAAAGGUACUCCGGGGAUAACAGGCUGAUACCGCCCAAGAGUUCAUAUCGACGGCGGUGUUUGGCACCUCGAUGUCGGCUCAUCACAUCCUGGGGCUGAAGCAGGUCCCAAGGGUAUGGCUGUUCGCCAUUUAAAGUGGUACGCGAGCUGGGUUUAGAACGUCGUGAGACAGUUCGGUCCCUAUCUGCCGUGGGCGUAGGAAAAUUGAGAGGAGCUGCUCCUAGUACGAGAGGACCGGAGUGGACGAACCUCUGGUGCACCGGUUGUCACGCCAGUGGCAUGGCCGGGUAGCUAAGUUCGGACGGGAUAACCGCUGAAAGCAUCUAAGCGGGAAGCCUCCCUCAAGAUGAGUUUUCCCAUGAAGCCCGUUGAAGACUACGACGUUGAUAGGCAAGGUGUGGAAGCGCAGUAAUGCGUGAAGCUAACUUGUACUAAUUGGCUGAUUG
rnacentral:rRNA from 1 species